UACGGAGGGGGCUAGCGUUGUUCGGAAUUACUGGGCGUAAAGCGUACGUAGGCGGCUUUGUAAGUUAGAGGUGAAAGCCCGGAGCUCAACUCCGGAACUGCCUUUAAGACUGCAUCGCUUGAACGUUGGAGAGGUGAGUGGAAUUCCGAGUGUAGAGGUGAAAUUCGUAGAUAUUCGGAAGAACACCAGUGGCGAAGGCGACUUACUGGACAACUGUUGACGCUGAGGUGCGAAAGCGUGGGGAGCAAACAGG
rnacentral:rRNA from 1 species